UACGUAGGGGGCAAGCGUUGUCCGGAUUUAUUGGGCGUAAAGAGCGUGUAGGCGGCCAGACAGGUCCGUUGUGAAAACUCGAGGCUCAACCUCGAGAUGUCGAUGGAAACCGUCUGGCUAGAGUCCGGAAGAGGAGUGUGGAAUUCCUGGUGUAGCGGUGAAAUGCGCAGAUAUCAGGAGGAACACCAAUGGCGAAGGCAGCUCGCUGGGACGUUACUGACGCUGAGACGCGAAAGCGUGGGGAGCAAACAGG
rnacentral:rRNA from 1 species